rnacentral:rRNA from 1 species
UACGUAGGGUGCAAGCAUUAAUCGGAAUUACUGGGCGUAAAGCGUGCGCAGGCGGUAAUGUAAGACAGUUGUGAAAUCCCCGGGCUCAACCUGGGAACUGCAUCUGUGACUGCAUUGCUGGAGUACGGCAGAGGGGGAUGGAAUUCCGCGUGUAGCAGUGAAAUGCGUAGAUAUGCGGAGGAACACCGAUGGCGAAGGCAAUCCCCUGGGCCUGUACUGACGCUCAUGCACGAAAGCGUGGGGAGCAAACAGG